rnacentral:snoRNA from 1 species
CUAUAUAAUCUUAAGAUGAUGGCUUAAUCUUCUCACUGACAA